GGCGAACGGGUGGAGAUAACACGUGGGCAACCUGCCUCCGGUAACACCGGGAUAACCCAGGUAAACUGAGCUAAUACCUGGAUACUAAGGCGUGAUCGCAUGGUCGCGCCGGGAAAGCUCCGACGGUCCGGGAUGGGCCCGCGGCCUAUCAGCUUGUUGGUGGGGUAACGGCCCACCAAGGCGACGACGGGUAGCUGGUCUGAGGAGGACGGCCAGCCACACUGGGACUGAGACACGGCCCAGACUCAAUACGGGAGGCAGCAGUGGGGGAUCUUGCGCUAAUACGCGAAAGCGUGACGCAGCGACGCCGCGUGGGGGAUGAAGGCCCUCGGGUUGUAAACCCCUUUCGGCAGGGACGAAGGGAAACUGACGGUACCUGCAGAAGAAGUCCCGGCUAACUACGUGCAGCAGCCGCGG
rnacentral:rRNA from 1 species